rnacentral:ncRNA from 1 species
UAUAUUGCUAUGAACAGAAAUAUUAAGAAUCAAAUAAACUUCCAGAGAGUCGGGAUUGCUGGGAACCGAUAGUUUUUAGAUUUUGAACUCAUCUGUGAGCAGUCGCCUGAAGUUACUGUAGGGUAGAACGGAAUUCCACCGUUAUAUGGAUAGAUAGUACGAACCAUUUAUAGUGGAGUGCUAUUGAAAAAGUGAACUUUAAGUUAAGUUAAAUAGAGUGGUACCGCGAGUAAACCUCGUCUCUUUC